UCACAGCCAUAUCACCCUGCAGCCCAAGACUGGUUGCCCACUGAAGCUAAGCAGGGUUGAGCCUGGUCAGUACCUGGAUGGGAGAUCUCCUGGGAAAACUAGGUUGCUGUUGGAA
rnacentral:rRNA from 1 species